AUUGAACGCUGGCGGUAGGCCUAACACAUGCAAGUCGAACGGCAGCACAGGAGAGCUUGCUCUCUGGGUGGCGAGUGGCGGACGGGUGAGGAAUACAUCGGAAUCUACCUUUUCGUGGGGGAUAACGUAGGGAAACUUACGCUAAUACCGCAUACGACCUACGGGUGAAAGUGGGGGACCGCAAGGCCUCACGCGAUUAGAUGAGCCGAUGUCCGAUUAGCUAGUUGGCGGGGUAAUGGCCCACCAAGGCGACGAUCGGUAGCUGGUCUGAGAGGAUGAUCAGCCACACUGGAACUGAGACACGGUCCAGACUCCUACGGGAGGCAGCAGUGGGGAAUAUUGGACAAUGGGCGCAAGCCUGAUCCAGCCAUACCGCGUGGGUGGAGAAGGCCUUCGGGUUGUAAAGCCCUUUUGUUGGGAAAGAAAUCCUGUCGAUUAAUACUCGGUGGGGAUGACGGUACCCAAAGAAUAAGCACCGGCUAACUUCGUGCCAGCCGCCGCGGUAACAC
rnacentral:rRNA from 1 species